AAAUUUGUCAUAAUCUUUUACGGUUGCGAAGGAGAUGCGCUAACAAGGAAAACAGUGUUUGGGGAGAUAACUCCUACAAAGAAAAGUAUUCGUUUACGCAGGGUAAAUUUCAAAAGUGCAUAAACUGUUCGAUAUCAUAUACCAAAUAUCUAAGCGACAUAUUGCGAAACAAAUGUUUAUCGCAAGAACAAAAUUAGGCGGAAGAAAAAAAAAAAAAAAAAAAAAAAUAAUCAGAAGAAAAACAAUAGGUCUUUCCACAGAAAAGUGGAAAGACCUAAUUAAAAACCAAUUGUUCAGAGAACAAUUGAAGGUCUUUCCAUCAAAACAAUGUAUUUUGAUAUGAAAAGUUGUGAAACUAAGUUUAAAAUGUCAUUUCAAUCGUCAAAUGAUAGCUCCUAGUAAGCUGAUUCCAAAAAUAUAUUGUUUCCAUACGUUUUUUUUUAAAUAAGGGAGAUAAUUUGUUACUUCCGGUUUGAAAAAUGUUACUUCCGAUUAUAUUUGAAUAUUUACUUGACACUGAUUCCAAAAAUAUCUGGUUCUAUAUACUUUUAUCUUAAAAAGUACAAAAAAAUAGCUAUUUCCGGUUUACAAAAGGUCACUUCCGGUUGUUAUUUACAAGGUUAAAUGGUUUGAUAUCUUUUUUCUAAAAGUUGUAUAUCUUUAUCAUGUAUACAUAUAGAAUAAAAGCAAAGGUCAAAAUCUAGAACGUCAAAUUAAGCUAUGACCUUGAGAUCAGUUUCAAGGUCAUAAACCAAGGACCUCAAAUCAAAAGACCAUAGGUCUUUAUUAUAUUUAGUUAAUGAGUUAUAUCACCAAACGCGUAUUUUUAAAUACAAGAGGGGAGAAAACUCCCUUUUACAUUCAACGUACGCUUGCAAUCAAAAUUUACAUCUUACGACAUGUCGCAACUAACAAUUUAGUAAAAAUAAUUUGUUGAUAUCUUAUACAGUCUUUGGAUAUAAGUGAAAAUAAGCCAAAUUCAAAUAUUAGAAUAUGACCUUGACCUUUGACCUUGACCUAAUUUUCAUUUUUUGGGACCAAGGACCUCAAAUCAAAAGAUCCUAGGUCUCUAUCACUUAUGAUUUAUAAGAUAGAAAUUCAUAUCACUUAUAUCAGAUGCAUAAGGGGAAAUAACUCUCAUAUGGAGCGGUCUUAUCGCUUCGGUCAAAAUAGGACAAAUCAUGCGAAGGAUAUAACGAGCAAUUUUGUAAAAUAAAUUUGUCAUAAUCUUUUACGGUUGCGAAGGAGAUGCGCUAACAAGGAAAACAGUGUUUGGGGAGAUAACUCCUACAAAGAAAAGUAUUCGUUUACGCAGGGUAAAUUUCAAAAGUGCAUAAACUGUUCGAUAUCAUAUACCAAAUAUCUAAGCGAUAUAUUGCGAAACAAAUGUUUAUCGCAAGAACAAAAUUAGGCGGAAGAAAAAAAAAAAAAUAAUCAGAAGAAAAACAAUAGGUCUUUCCACAGAAAAGUGGAAAGACCUAAUAAUCAGAAGAAAAACAAUAGGUCUUUCCACAGAAAAGUGGAAAGACCUAAUAAUAAUAAUAAUAAUAAUAAUAAUAAUAAUAAUAAUAAUAAUAAUAAUAGGGAAAAAGAAACAGAGGAAUAACAAUAUGUCACCCGACAUUGUCGAUCGGGUGACAUAAUAAACAGGAGAA
rnacentral:lncRNA from 1 species